GACUACUAGCCAGUCAGAAGCAGAGUAUUAGGGCACGCUAUACUAGCAGCUAGACAAGCAUUAGAAUGUGUUACAAAGUGACACACAUUCGUUACGGAAGUAAAGGCUGGACUACAAUAGAGGUGUUUGGAGCAGUUUGUGAGCAGUGUUUUCUGUUGGAGAUGGUAACUCCCUUUGGGGGGGGGGGCACUUUGGGCUUUUUCACUUUGUAAACCUAUAACAUGCACAAAAAGAUAUAACACAAUAAAGGAAAGGGAAAAAGCCAAAAAGGAUAAUGUGAGCACUUUAAAUCGCGAGGUGCAGAUUCAUCCAAUAUGGGCAUAGUUCCUGGUGAGUGGGGGACUCAACCACUAAACUAAACGUUUACCCUGGACAGGAGAGGAAAGGGUAAACUGAGACUCAUUGUGUGUUUGUAUUAGUCCUGGUUCCCCCGCAUAUCUCCCGCAUGCUACUUCUCUUGGAAUACCAAGGUGUGUCAACCUUUGCAAACAUUCUUGUAAGGUGUCUUUGUGUUCUAGUCCCUUUUAUUGUGAAACUUUGAAGAAGAUGCCUUUUCUUACAGCCCAUAAACUACACAGACUUAGGGACAGCCAGUUGUGUUGGCUUUCUAUGUCAUCAGGACACUUGCAAAGCAAACAGGGAUUCAGAGUUGCUGGCUUCGGCAGAGAUAUAUGCAUUCUUCUGGUCACCGAGGGAGUUUGUGCGCUGCAGGGUGUGAAUGUUCACAGUGGAUCAACUGACAGGACAACUUUUUGGGUGUUUUUUUCAUAGCGAUCAGCCAGGUUGUAAACAAACCAACCGUUAUCCAUAUUAUUUAACCACAUGUUCGGAGGCAAACAUUAAAGUGAGUGCACCUGGAAAACCUGAAAGCAGGUAUUUCCCAAAUGGACCUAUCCUUUAAAACCUGUCUUUAGCAUCUUUCUCUGAUAGUAUAUUAAUACAGCUAAAACUGCAGAUACAAAAUGUAAGUGGUUUAAGCGAUGUGUUUUUUUCUUCCUCAACGUUUACCCAGUUAAGGACACACUGUUGCAGAUACUUGAUGAUCAAGAAGAACGAGGAGAACCAAAAACAGACGUGGACUCUUUAGGAUCUUUUUCUGAGGCUCCAAAGUACUAUUAGCUAAGCGUAGAUUGUAGUAUUAAGACAUUCCCAGCAUUACGAUGACAAUCUUUUGAACUCAAUGCUGAAAGAAAAAAAAGAAAAU